AUUGAACGCUGGCGGCAUGCCUUACACAUGCAAGUCGAACGGUAACAGGUUAAGCUGACGAGUGGCUAAGGGGUGAGUAAUGUAUCGGAACGUGCCCAGUCGUGGGGGAUACCGUAGCGAAAGUUACGCUAAUUCCGCAUACGAUCGAUGGAUCAAAGCGGGGGAUCGAUAGACCUCGUGUGUUUGCAGCGGCAGAUAUCAGAUGAGGUAGUUGGGGGGGUAAAGGCUCACCAAGCCGAGGAUCUGUAGCUGUUCUGAGAGGACGACCAGCCACACUGGGACUGAGACACGGCACAGACUCCUACGGGAGGCAGCAGUGGGGAAGUUUGGACAAUGGGCGAAAGCCUGAUCCAGCCAUGCCGCGUGCAGGAUGAAGGCCUUCGGGUUGUAAACUGCUUUUGUACGGAACGAAAAGGUUUGGCCUAAUAAGCUGGGCUCAUGACGGUACCGUAAGAAUAAGCACCGGCUAACUACGUGCCAGCCGCCGCAGUAACAC
rnacentral:rRNA from 1 species